rnacentral:rRNA from 1 species
AAGGGCACCACAAGAACGCGUGGAGCAUGUGGCUUAAUUUGACUCAACGCGGGAAAACUUACCGGGUCCGAACACACUAAGGAUUGACAGAUAGCACUAUAUAUAUUAUAUAUAUAGUGCAAAGUUGCAAGCUCUUUCAUGAUUGUGUGAUAGGUGGUGCAUGGCCGUUCUUAGUUCGUGGAGUGAUUUGUCUGCUUAAUUGCGCUACAAAUUACUUACUCCUAUAUAUACUAUAUUAUAUAUAGUAUAUAGGGGGUAUAUGCUUGUAAGCAACGAACGUGACCUCAUAGCAGUGUUACACUACUAUAUAGUAGUGAACCUCUGCUGACUGCCUGGGCUGUCAACCCGGAGGAAGGAUGAGGCAAUAACAGGUCUGUGAUGCCCUUAGAUGUUCCGGGCUGCACACGUGCUACAAUGAUUGCUACACCGAGUAUAUACUCGAAUGCCCUAUAUAUAGGGUGAAUGGACCAGGCCUCGCAAGGGCACUGGCAACCACUUGCAAAUAGCAAUACAGUCAUAUAUACUACAUAUAUAUUAUAUAUAUAUAUGUAGUGCUCUAAUAACUUCAUGGUAGGGACCGAGGUUUGAGACAACUCUGCCUCGCGUCUUAACUAGGAAUGCCUUGUACGGGCUAUUGGUUCACCAGACCGCCCGGAAUACGUCCCUGCCCUUUGUACACACCGCCCGUCA